ensembl:snoRNA SNORD16 Small nucleolar RNA SNORD16
UGCAAUGAUGUUGUAAUUUGCGUCUUACUCUCUUCUCAGCGACAGUUGCCUGCUGUCAGUAAGCUGGUUCAGAAGGGUGAUGAAAAUUCUUACUGAGCA